UUAACUUUUUUUUUGCAAUGGAAAAAAUGCAGAAGGGAACAAUCGCGGCAGGUACAGAUUAUCAACACAAUGUAUCUGCCGGCGUUUCUUGAAAAGACUAAGAACUAUUCAGCUCACUUGCACUAAAAGUUAAUACAGAGAACACCAACCAGAGUCUUGAAAAUACUUGGAAGAAAAAGAUUGACUGCUGGGGGGAAGACGAAGAUCAAUGUCAGCCAUGUAUAUAUAUGAAACAUGCAGUGAUUAAUAGGGGGUGGAUCAUCAAUGAUCAAAUCAAAAUCAAACUGUUCUCACUCUCACUCUUAUUCCUUCCCUUACUGCUUUGCUUGCCGGUAG